rnacentral:rRNA from 1 species
UUUUGGACAAUGGGGGCAACCCUGAUCCAGCAAUGCCGCGUGCAGGAAGAAGGCCUUCGGGUUGUAAACUGCUUUUGUCAGGGAAGAAAUCCUGUGGGUUAAUACCUCGUGGGGAUGACGGUACCUGAAGAAUAAGCACCGGCUAACUACGUGCCAGCAGCCGCGGUAAUACGGAGGAUCCAAGCGUUAUCCGGAAUCAUUGGGUUUAAAGGGUCCGUAGGCGGUCUUAUAAGUCAGUGGUGAAAUCUCCCCGCUCAACGGGGAAACGGCCAUUGAUACUGUAAGACUUGAAUUAUUAGGAAGUAACUAGAAUAUGUAGUGUAGCGGUGAAAUGCUUAGAGAUUACAUGGAAUACCAAUUGCGAAGGCAGGUUGCUACUAAUGGAUGACGCUGAUGACGAAA